rnacentral:misc_RNA from 1 species
CACACACACACAAAAAUGGAGGGUUUAAUCAAGGGUCUCAUAGAUGUUGCAAUCGGCCACGACGGCGACGACAACGAUCAACAGUCUCGCGACGACCGAUCCAGAUCCACUUGGGCUCAGGUGGUUACUGGGGAGGAAGAUGGGGGAGAUCGGAGACAGGGGUAUGAUCGGAAUCGGAGGGACAAUGAGGAAGAGGGUCGUUCACGGCGUGAGGAGUGGGAGGUUCAGGGUUCGAGGAUUUCUGGUCAACGGCAACAGAGUGAAUAUGGUAGUGAGCAUGGUUACAACAGAAACCAGUGGCCUAAAGAGGAGAGCUCCGAGGAGAAAAAUGAUGGGUGGGAGACUGUCCACAAAAAGCCGCCUAGGAGACAACACAAGGUGCAAAAAGAUAAUUGGGAAGGAUACAAACGGCCUGCCAGUGAACAAAAUUACUCCGAUGAGGUGGAAGUUGGUGCUGAGCUAGAACCCUCAGAAGAUGAGCUUGCUGAUUUGUCCUAUGCAUGUAACAAGCUUUGGGAACUUGAUUUAAAUCGUUUGGUACCUGGAAAAGAUUAUGAAAUUGAUUGUGGUGAAGGGAAGAGGGUCAGUGGAAGGGAAGAUAUGGCACAAGGAAGCCUCUUUAGUUGGGUUAGCGAAG